ACUAUCUAAUCAUGGGGUUGUUCACUAUCUAAUCAUGGGGUUGUUCACUAUCUAAUCAUGGGAUUGUUCACUAGUUAAUCAUGGGAUUGUUCACUAGUUAAUCAUGGGAUUGUUCACUAGUUAAUCAUGGGAUUGUUCACUAGCUAAUCUAUGGGAUUGUUCACUAGUUAAUCAUGGGAUUGUUCACUAUCUAAUCAUGGGAUUGUUCACUAGCUAAUCAUGGGAUUGUUCACUAUCUAAUCAUGGGAUUGUUCACUAGCUAAUCAUGGGAUUGUUCACUAUCUAAUCUAUGGGAUUGUUCACUAUCUAAUCAUGGGAUUGUUCACUAUCUAAUCAUGGGAUUGUUCACUAUCUAAUCAUGGGGUUGUUCACUAGUUAAUCAUGGGGUUGUUCACUAGUUAAUCAUGUCAUGGGAUUGUUCACUAUCUAAUCAUGGGGUUGUUCACUAGCUAAUCAUGGGGUUGUUCACUAGCUAAUCAUGGGGUUGUUCACUAGUUAAUCAUGUCAUGGGAUUGUUCACUAUCUAAUCAUGGGGUUGUUCACUAUCUAAUCAUGGGGUUGUUCACUAGCUAAUCAUGGGGUUGUUCACUAUCUAAUCAUGGGAUUGUUCACUAUCUAAUCAUGGGAUUGUUCACUAGCUAAUCAUGGGAUUGUUCACUAUGUAAUCAUGGGAUUGUUCACUAGCUAAUCAUGGGAUUGUUCACUAUCUAAUCAUGGGGUUGUUCACUAUCUAAUCAUGGGGUUGUUCACUAUCUAAUCAUGGGAUUGUUCACUAGCUAAUCAUGGGGUUGUUCACUAGCUAAUCAUGGGAUUGUUCACUAGUUAAUCAUGGGAUUGUUCACUAGUUAAUCAUGGGAUUGUUCACUAGCUAAUCAUGGGAUUGUUCACUAGUUAAUCAUGGGAUUGUUCACUAGCUAAUCAUGGGGUUGUUCACUAUCUAAUCAUGGGAUUGUUCACUAGUUAAUCAUGUCAUGGGAUUGUUCACUAUCUAAUCAUGGGAUUGUUCACUAUCUAAUCAUGGGAUUGUUCACUAUCUAAUCAUGGGAUUGUUCACUAUCUAAUCAUGGGAUUGUUCACUAUCUAAUCAUGGGAUUGUUCACUAUCUAAUCAUGGGAUUGUUCACUAUCUAAUCAUGGGAUUGUUCACUAGCUAAUCAUGGGAUUGUUCACUAUCUAAUCAUGGGAUUGUUCACUAGUUAAUCAUGGGAUUGUUCACUAUCUAAUCUAUGGGAUUGUUCACUAUCUAAUCAUGGGAUUGUUCACUAGUUAAUCAUGGGGUUGUUCACUAUCUAAUCAUGGGAUUGUUCACUAGUUAAUCAUGGGAUUGUUCACUAGCUAAUCAUGGGAUUGUUCAAUGACAGAUAAGUAUUUGUUUAAAAUCACUUGAUGUCUUCAUUUCAGAGAAACAAAUAAUCAUGUUUUUUUCCGCAAAAUGCUAUAUAUUUGCCUCACUCUCAAAUGUUACCGACCGGAAUAAUGAGGCCAUAAGGAGUACCAGUACUGAGUCAAUUUGCAGGGUACCAGGUUGUUGAGAUAAUAAUGAGACUAUAAGGAGUACCAGUCCUGAGUCAAUGUGCAGGGUACCAGGUAGUUGAGGUAAUAAUGAGGCUAUAAGGAGUACCAGUCCUGAGUCAAUGUGCAGGGUACCAGGUAGUUGAGGUAAUAAUGAGACUAUAAGGAGUACCAGUACUGAGUCAAUGUGCAGGGUACCAGGUAGUUGAGGUAAUAAUAAGACUAUAAUGAGUACCAGUACUGAGUCAAUGUGCAGGGUACCAGGUAGUUGAGGUAAUAAUGAGACUAUAAGGAGUACCAGUACUGAGUCAAUGUGCAGGGUACCAGGUAGUUGAGGUAAUAAUGAGACUAUAAGGAGUACCAGUAAUGGGUCAAUGUGCAGGGUACCAGGUAGUUGAGGUAAUAAUGAGACUAUAAGGAGUACCAGUACUGAGUCAAUGUGCAGGGUACCAGGUAGUUGAGGUAAUAAUGAGACUAUAAGGAGUACCAGUAAUGGGUCAAUGUGCAGGGUACCAGGUAGUUGAGGUAAUAAUGAGACUAUAAGGAGUACCAGUACUGAGUCAAUGUGCAGGGUACCAGGUAGUUGAGGUAAUAAUGAGACUAUAAGGAGUACCAGUACUGAGUCAAUGUGCAGGGUACCAGGUAGUUGAGGUAAUAAUGAGACUAUAAGGAGUACCAGUACUGAGUCAAUGUGCAGGGUACCAGGUAGUUGAGGUAAUAAUGAGACUAUAAGGAGUACCAGUACUGAGUCAAUGUGCAGGGUACCAGGUAGUUGAGGUAAUAAUGAUUAUAUGAGGAGUACCAGUACUGAGUCAAUGUGCAGGGUACCAGGUAGUUGAGGUAAUAAUGAGGCUAUAAGGAGUACCAGUACUGAGUCAAUGUGCAGGGUACCAGGUAGUUGAGGUAAUAAUGAGGCUAUAAGGAGUACCAGUACUGAGUCAAUGUGCAGGGUACCAGGUAGUUGAGGUAAUAAUGAGACUAUAAGGAGUACCAGUACUGAGUCAAUGUGCAGGGUACCAGGUAGUUGAGGUAAUAAUGAGACUAUAAGGAGAACCAGUACUGAGUCAAUGUGCAGGGUACCAGGUAGUUGAGGUAAUAAUGAGACUAUAAGGAGUACCAGUACUGAGUCAAUGUGCAGGGUACCAGGUAGUUGAGGUAAUAAUGAGACUAUAAGGAGAACCAGUACUGAGUCAAUGUGCAGGGUACCAGGUAGUUGAGGUAAUAAUGAGACUAUAAGGAGAACCAGUACUGAGUCAAUGUGCAGGGUACCAGGUAGUUGAGGUAAUAAUGAGACUAUAAGGAGUACCAGUACUGAGUCAAUGUGCAGGGUACCAGGUAGUUGAGGUAAUAAUGAGACUAUAAGGAGAACCAGUACUGAGUCAAUGUGCAGGGUACCAGGUAGUUGAGGUAAUAAUGAGACUAUAAGGAGUACCAGUACUGAGUCAAUGUGCAGGGUACCAGGUAGUUGAGGUAAUAUGUACAUGUAGUUCGGGGAAAAAGUGACGAGGCAAUCAGGAUGGAGGUUA